rnacentral:tRNA from 1 species
GGGUCGUUAGCUCAGUUGGUAGAGCAGUUGACUUUUAAUCAAUUGGUCGCAGGUUCGAAUCCUGCACGACCCANCA